GUGUGGGCCUUGGACAUUACUGUGAAAGUGUCCAGUGGCUUUUAAGGGAACGUCUACGUAAUCACUCUCAAAAGUAAUGCUUAUAAAAACUAUUGUUUAGAAGCCUGAAUUGCCUUUAAAUCAACGAAACAGACACACAGGUUGUCUGUGUGAUCUUGAUUUGACACCUUUAUAGUUUAUAUGUUAACAAGUAAUAUGCUGAUGUUAUAAUCACGAAGCGGAAUUUAGUCACAGCAAUAUACCGUGAGAAAGAAACGAUAACCAUAAUAUUAUCAUAAUCUCAAUCUCUUAUCAAGUUUAGUCUGGAACAGUUAAAAGUAUGAUAUACCAUUAGUUCAGUGGAACCAUUUCGAUUACUGAUAUCUUUUGACUACAUUUACUUCGAAGUGAAAUUUUUCUCCAAGAGCGUUUGAAAGCUGCUGUUGUAGGCUUCUGUAAACCAAAAGUGUUAAUUGCAAGUUUGUUCGAAGUGUAUCAUCAAACGUUAACCUACCUUCCCUUUAACGCUGAUAUUUUUCAAACGAAUUUUGACAGAUGAUGCUGUUUCGAAAAACAUGACGCCCCCCCCC